rnacentral:rRNA from 1 species
GGUGAAAGGCCCCCUCGCCGUAAGCCCAAGGUUUCCUACGCAACGUUCAUCGGCGUAGGGUGAGUCGGCCCCUAAGGCGAGGCAGAAAUGCGUAGCUGAUGGGAAGCAGGUCAAUAUUCCUGCACCAUUGUUAGAUGCGAUGGGGGGACGGAUCGCGGAAGGUUGUCCGGGUGUUGGAAGUCCCGGUCGCUGCAUUGGAGAAGGCGCUUAGGCAAAUCCGGGCGCGGAAUUCAAGGGUGUGGCGCGAGCUCCUUAGGGAGCGAAGCAAUUGGAAGUGGUUCCAAGAAAAGCCUCUAAGCUUCAGUCUAAUGAUGACCGUACCGCAAACCGACACAGGUGGGCGAGAUGAGUAUUCUAAGGCGCUUGAGAGAACUCGGGAGAAGGAACUCGGCAAAUUGGUACCGUAACUUCGGGAUAAGGUACGCCCUUGUAGCUUGACUGGCUUGCGCCAGAAGGGUGAAGGGGUUGCAAUAAACUGGUGGCUGCGACUGUUUAAUAAAAACACAGCACUCUGCAAACACGAAAGUGGACGUAUAGGGUGUGACGCCUGCCCGGUGCCGGAAGAUUAAAUGAUGGGGUGCAAGCUCUUGAUUGAAGUCCCGGUAAACGGCGGCCGUAACUAUAACGGUCCUAAGGUAGCGAAAUUCCUUGUCGGGUAAGUUCCGACCUGCACGAAUGGCGUAACGAUGGCCACACUGUCUCCUCCCGAGACUCAGCGAAGUUGAAGUGUUUGUGAUGAUGCAAUCUACCCGCGGCUAGACGGAAAGACCCCAUGAACCUUUACUGUAGCUUUGCAUUGGACUUUGAACCGAUCUGUGUAGGAUAGGUGGGAGGCUAUGAAACCGGAACGCUAGUUUCGGUGGAGCCGUCCUUGAAAUACCACCCUGGUUUGUUUGAGGUUCUAACCUUGGCCCGUGAUCCGGGUCGGGGACAGUGCAUGGUAGGCAGUUUGACUGGGGCGGUCUCCUCCCAAAGCGUAACGGAGGAGUACGAAGGUACGCUAGGUACGGUCGGAAAUCGUGCUGAUAGUGCAAUGGCAUAAGCGUGCUUAACUGCGAGACCGACAAGUCGAGCAGGUGCGAAAGCAGGUCAUAGUGAUCCGGUGGUUCUGUAUGGAAGGGCCAUCGCUCAACGGAUAAAAGGUACUCUGGGGAUAACAGGCUGAUACCGCCCAAGAGUUCAUAUCGACGGCGGUGUUUGGCACCUCGAUGUCGGCUCAUCUCAUCCUGGGGCUGUAGCCGGUCCCAAGGGUAUGGCUGUUCGCCAUUUAAAGAGGUACGUGAGCUGGGUUUAAAACGUCGUGAGACAGUUUGGUCCCUAUCUGCCGUGGGCGUUGGAUAUUUGAAGGGGGCUGCUCCUAGUACGAGAGGACCGGAGUGGACGAACCUCUGGUGUACCGGUUGUCACGCCAGUGGCAUCGCCGGGUAGCUAUGUUCGGAAGAGAUAACCGCUGAAAGCAUCUAAGCGGGAAACUCGCCUUAAGAUGAGAUAUCCCUGGGGACUAGAUCCCCUUGAAGGGUCGUUCGAGACCAGGACGUUGAUAGGUCAGGUGUGUAAGCGCAGUAAUGCGUUCAGCUAACUGAUACUAAUUGCCCGUAAGGCUUGAUCCU